UUAACAACAAAAUAAAAUUUAAUGCUAUUUCCAAUUGUUUAACAUAAAGUUUAUAGAACCCCCUGAAUCAAACAAACUAUUGAUCUAAUUUGGAAUGCUGCCACAAUAUAAGAACACAUGGACACUGAUAAAUUGAAAAGCAUCAAAAAGAAAAAGAAAUAGGAGCAUGUGGCAUGCCAAGAUGUACUGGAUAAAAUGUAUAAUAAGAUUAUUUGAUGAAAAUAAUUUUUGUAGGUUUUAAAAUCAAAAAAAAAAAUCUUGGGUGAGCAGAAGAAUCAAAACUGAACGAUUUUCGCAUUGAUGAAAAGGUUUCAAACGAAUCAAUCUCAACUGACAUAAAAACAAACGAACCUGAUAAUCCUCCAGCACAAAUGAUCAUCCCAAAAGAGAUACAGAGCUUUAUCGAUUCAUUUAAAAUGAACCCUGAAAAUAUUGACUUUAAUCAAAUAUUAAACCGUUUGAAUUCAAAUAAUAGAUCAGAUGAAACAAUAGCUUGUCGUAUUGUAGGAUUAUUGUUGGGAAAAAUAGGAGACUCAUUUGAAGAAAAAUACGAUAUCAAUAACAAUGUAAAGAACAAUUAUACACAGGGUCGGGAAUCGAAUAAAUCAAAUGCAGCAAAAAGACUAUGAUCAGAUCAUCAAUCAGAUGUAAUGAUAAAAAAUGAUGAAAUUUACAUGGUAAAUAAAUUUUGACAUUAGUUCUUCUAAUGACGACACAAUGAACAAUUCAUUUAAAUUAUAGUUAUUCUAUGACUCCAAGUUAUGUAUUAUAUAAAUAUUCAUUUUGUAAACUAAA